UGCCCCGUCGUCUAGCGGUAGGACAGCGGACUUUGGAUCCGUGAACCGAGGUUCGAAUCCUCGCGGGGCAGCCA
rnacentral:tRNA from 1 species